rnacentral:rRNA from 1 species
GUACACAAAAAUGCACAUAUUGUGAGCUCGAUGAGUAGGGCGGGACACGUGGUAUCCUGUCUGAAUAUGGGGGGACCAUCCUCCAAGGCUAAAUACUCCUGACUGACCGAUAGUGAACCAGUACCGUGAGGGAAAGGCGAAAAGAACCCCGGCGAGGGGAGUGAAAAAGAACCUGAAACCGUGUACGUACAAGCAGUGGGAGCCUCUUUAUGGGGUGACUGCGUACCUUUUGUAUAAUGGGUCAGCGACUUAUAUUCUGUAGCAAGGUUAACCGAAUAGGGGAGCCGAAGGGAAACCGAGUCUUAACUGGGCGUUAAGUUGCAGGGUAUAGACCCGAAACCCGGUGAUCUAGCCAUGGGCAGGUUGAAGGUUGGGUAACACUAACUGGAGGACCGAACCGACUAAUGUUGAAAAAUUAGCGGAUGACUUGUGGCUGGGGGUGAAAGGCCAAUCAAACCGGGAGAUAGCUGGUUCUCCCCGAAAGCUAUUUAGGUAGCGCCUCGUGAAUUCAUCUCCGGGGGUAGAGCACUGUUUCGGCAAGGGGGUCAUCCCGACUUACCAACCCGAUGCAAACUGCGAAUACCGGAGAAUGUUAUCACGGGAGACACACGGCGGGUGCUAACGUCCGUCGUGAAGAGGGAAACAACCCAGACCGCCAGCUAAGGUCCCAAAGUCAUGGUUAAGUGGGAAACGAUGUGGGAAGGCCCAGACAGCCAGGAUGUUGGCUUAGAAGCAGCCAUCAUUUAAAGAAAGCGUAAUAGCUCACUGGUCGAGUCGGCCUGCGCGGAAGAUGUAACGGGGCUAAACCAUGCACCGAAGCUGCGGCAGCGACACUAUGUGUUGUUGGGUAGGGGAGCGUUCUGUAAGCCUGUGAAGGUGGCCUGUGAGGGUUGCUGGAGGUAUCAGAAGUGCGAAUGCUGACAUAAGUAACGAUAAAGCGGGUGAAAAGCCCGCUCGCCGGAAGACCAAGGGUUCCUGUCCAACGUUAAUCGGGGCAGGGUGAGUCGACCCCUAAGGCGAGGCCGAAAGGCGUAGUCGAUGGGAAACAGGUUAAUAUUCCUGUACUUGGUGUUACUGCGAAGGGGGGACGGAGAAGGCUAUGUUGGCCGGGCGACGGUUGUCCCGGUUUAAGCGUGUAGGCUGGUUUUCCAGGCAAAUCCGGAAAACCAAGGCUGAGGCGUGAUGACGAGGCACUACGGUGCUGAAGCGACAAAUGCCCUGCUUCCAGGAAAAGCCUCUAAGCAUCAGGUAACAUCAAAUCGUACCCCAAACCGACACAGGUGGUCAGGUAGAGAAUACCAAGGCGCUUGAGAGAACUCGGGUGAAGGAACUAGGCAAAAUGGUGCCGUAACUUCGGGAGAAGGCACGCUGAUAUGUAGGUGAAGCGACUUGCUCGUGGAGCUGAAAUCAGUCGAAGAUACCAGCUGGCUGCAACUGUUUAUUAAAAACACAGCACUGUGCAAACACGAAAGUGGACGUAUACGGUGUGACGCCUGCCCGGUGCCGGAAGGUUAAUUGAUGGGGUUAGCGGUAACGCGAAGCUCUUGAUCGAAGCCCCGGUAAACGGCGGCCGUAACUAUAACGGUCCUAAGGUAGCGAAAUUCCUUGUCGGGUAAGUUCCGACCUGCACGAAUGGCGUAAUGAUGGCCAGGCUGUCUCCACCCGAGACUCAGUGAAAUUGAACUCGCUGUGAAGAUGCAGUGUACCCGCGGCAAGACGGAAAGACCCCGUGAACCUUUACUAUAGCUUGACACUGAACAUUGAGCCUUGAUGUGUAGGAUAGGUGGGAGGCUUUGAAGUGUGGACGCCAGUCUGCAUGGAGCCGACCUUGAAAUACCACCCUUUAAUGUUUGAUGUUCUAACGUUGGCCCGUAAUCCGGGUUGCGGACAGUGUCUGGUGGGUAGUUUGACUGGGGCGGUCUCCUCCUAAAGAGUAACGGAGGAGCACGAAGGUUGGCUAAUCCUGGUCGGACAUCAGGAGGUUAGUGCAAUGGCAUAAGCCAGCUUGACUGCGAGCGUGACGGCGCGAGCAGGUGCGAAAGCAGGUCAUAGUGAUCCGGUGGUUCUGAAUGGAAGGGCCAUCGCUCAACGGAUAAAAGGUACUCCGGGGAUAACAGGCUGAUACCGCCCAAGAGUUCAUAUCGACGGCGGUGUUUGGCACCUCGAUGUCGGCUCAUCACAUCCUGGGGCUGAAGUAGGUCCCAAGGGUAUGGCUGUUCGCCAUUUAAAGUGGUACGCGAGCUGGGUUUAGAACGUCGUGAGACAGUUCGGUCCCUAUCUGCCGUGGGCGCUGGAGAACUGAGGGGGGCUGCUCCUAGUACGAGAGGACCGGAGUGGACGCAUCACUGGUGUUCGGGUUGUCAUGCCAAUGGCACUGCCCGGUAGCUAAAUGCGGAAGAGAUAAGUGCUGAAAGCAUCUAAGCACGAAACUUGCCCCGAGAUGAGUUCUCCCUGAGACUUAGAGUCUCCUGAAGGAACGUUGAAGACGACGACGUUGAUAGGCCGGGUGUGUAAGCGCAGCGAUGCGUUGAGCUAACCGGUACUAAUGAACCGUGAGGCUUAACCUUACAACGCCGAAG